rnacentral:rRNA from 1 species
UGCAAGUCGAGCGGGGAAGGGUAGCUUGCUACCUGACCUAGCGGCGGACGGGUGAGUAAUGCUUAGGAAUCUGCCUAUUAGUGGGGGACAACAUUCCGAAAGGAAUGCUAAUACCGCAUACGCCCUACGGGGGAAAGCAGGGGAUCUUCGGACCUUGCGCUAAUAGAUGAGCCUAAGUCAGAUUAGCUAGUUGGUGGGGUAAAGGCCUACCAAGGCGACGAUCUGUAGCGGGUCUGAGAGGAUGAUCCGCCACACUGGGACUGAGACACGGCCCAGACUCCUACGGGAGGCAGCAGUGGGGAAUUUUGGACAAUGGGCGCAAGCCUGAUCCAGCCAUGCCGCGUGUGUGAAGAAGGUCUUCGGAUUGUAAAGCACUUUAAGUUGGGAGGAAGGGCUGUUACCUAAUACGUGAUGGUUUUGACGUUACCGACAGAAUAAGCACCGGCUAACUCUGUGCCAGCAGCCGCGGUAAUACAGAGGGUGCAAGCGUUAAUCGGAAUUACUGGGCGUAAAGCGCGCGUAGGUGGUUUGUUAAGUUGGAUGUGAAAUCCCUGAGCUUAACUUAGGAAUUGCAUUCGAUACUGGAAAGCUAGAGUAUGGGAGAGGAUGGGUAGAAUUCCAGGUGUAGCGGUGAAAUGCGUAGAGAUCUGGAGGAAUACCGAUGGCGAA